rnacentral:tRNA from 1 species
GUUCUGGUAGCUCAACUGGUAGAGCACCACCUCGACAUGGUGGAGGCCGGCGGUUCGAUCCCGUCCCGGAACA